CCGUUCUCUUUAUUAAAUGUCAAUAGAAAAACAGAAAAAAAAACAAAGAAAACAGUCCCCAAAAGACAAACUCAAAAAGAAAAACAAACCCUCCCCAUGAGAGAACUCUAACCGACAAAUGCUCGCAUCUCCAAAGCCAGAAAAAUCAUCAAACAUCUAAGCGAGCAACAAAAAUCAGACACUGGGGAUAGAUUGGUAAGGUUCCCCACAAAAACCAUGUAAAACGAGCAGCGCUUAUGGUGGAUCCGAAAGCCGACGAUCUUCCGCAGCCGCCGCAACAACCACUGUCGAUGCUUCCUCCACCCAAAACCUGUCUUCAUCACAUGAUAACCCAUCUUUAGCCAUUGCAUGUGUUGUGCUAUUGCCAAAUCGGCCGACAAAUUGAAAACAACAGGAGUGAAAAACCUUUGAAAACCCCUUUGCUUCCCAGAUAAAAGCACUUAUCUCCGAAAGGUUUCCUUGUCACUACAAAUAUUUUCAAUGACUAAUUUAGAAUCCCCUUCCAAUAUCACUGACAAGAAACCCAGUUCAUAAGCAAAACGGAGGCCAUGGGUCACCGCAAUUGCUUCGGCCGCAAACACAAAGAGCACAAGGUAAGUGGUUCUACUAUAGGCCCCCAAAAUUUGUCCAUUCUCGUCUCUAAUAACAACCCCUGAUGAUGCUUUCUUUUGUCCAAGUUGGAAACCAGUGUCCACAUUGACUUUAACAAAAUCCCAUGGUGGAGGAUACCAUCUGGCAAUAGAAUUUGAAGACGCUUGUAAAACCCCACCAGCCAGAACAGUUAGCUGCGCACAAUAGCUACGAACGAAGACCACUAACCCCCCUACAUCCUGGUUGUACCUUCAUGCACUAAUCGAUUACGGGCAAACCAAAGGGCCCGCAAUGUAGUGCUAAUUUCUGCAUGCUUAAUCUUUGUAUAAGUAUCAAACAUCCAUGAGAGCCACUCAUGGAAGCUCAUUUGAGCACCAUGCACUGGAGUAGUAUACUCCAAAGCUACCCAAACGUCUCUCGCAAAAACACGACGUGAUUCACGUUUUCCACAUCUAGAUGGCACCUAGGAUAAAUUGGAUCACUUGCUAUGUGUUUAUCAUACAAACUAGACUUAGUUGGCACAUAGGCAUUAACAAAUUUCCACAGAGCGAUUUUAAUUUUUGGGGGGCAUGAAAGUCCCCAAAUCUGUUUAAACAACGUAUGUUCCCUUGUAAAUUUUGGGGCCUGAAGCAAAAGUCUAUAUCCAAUGGAACAAUAUAGAUACCCAAUCCUUCACCACCCCAAACUGAUGAUAAUGGAAUGUUUCUAUUAAGAAACCCUUCUUCAAGAGAAAUGAGAAAAAAAUAAAAUAAAAUAAAAAAACAUACAG
rnacentral:lncRNA from 1 species